CUUGCACCCAAACCCAAAGGUCAUAUCAUUUCCAUGGUAUGAUUUUGUCUGGUGUGCAGACAGAAAACUGAUCCUUGUCGCCUUUCUCUGAUGCUGCUGUGCCUUUGAAAGUGAAUUCAAGGUUCAACAAAU
ensembl:snoRNA small nucleolar RNA SNORA68